rnacentral:lncRNA from 1 species
AACACCUUGACCCUCAGAGCACAGUACACACAGGACAGGUGAGUGGUGUGGGGUUGCUGUGUCCCCACGGUGGGUGUUUGAGGACACCCGCUGCACCGUGGUAGAGAGAGAGAGAGGUAAGAUUGAACUGAGUUACAGGCUGUGGGAUGGACCUGCACAAUGCCAUGGCAGCACCAAGAAGCUUAUCUCCCCUGACCUUGGGACAAAGUGCCACUUGGUGGAUGCCCUAAGGAGAGAAGCCUGUCGGAAUCUGCCAGGCACUGCAAUGUGCUCAGCCCACGGAAGGACGUUCAGAAGGCGUGUUGCUGAUGUGGCAAUGUGUGAUAAGUCACUUAGUGAAAAAAAAAGUAAGGAAAUACGAGGUCUUGAAGAAGGCUAUAAAAACAGCUCUUUUCAAUACAUAUUUCACUAUCUCUGCUGGUCUGAGUCCAUGCACUGGUGGAACGGCCAGGUGGGCCUGGGCCGAGCAGGAGCCUGGGCUGGGGCUGAAGGGUCUCUGCUUUUAUGGGGUGGCUGGGGUCUCCUGGGUGUGGCUGGGGGCAAUCGUGCAGGGCAGCAGAGCCCCGCUGACCCCACCUGCCACUCACAGAAAAAAUCUUGUUCUUGCUUCCCAAGGAACCAGUUUUAGAGCAGACUCAUCGCAGCUCUCGCUCCCACCCAGCCGACCAUGGAUUGCAAAGCCAUCGGUAUUGCAUUUGCUGUUGGAAUUGUCAUUGGAGCUGCAAUUGUAGGUGAGAGUCUGGCACAGGAUAAGCAGUGCUUGGCUUUGCUUGGGGAACUGCAGAGAGGGAAGGGACAGCACUGGGCACUGCCUGGAAUUCUGCCUGCCCCCACUGCUGCAGCCCUGCACACUGCUCCUCUCCUGCUGCCCAUGGGGUGUUCCCAGCCCUGCACCCCCAGCCCUCACUCCCUGCUCUGGUUGCUGGGUACUUUUGGGGAGGCUGAUGCAGGUGCUGGUGGGAGGUAGAGGUGUGGGUCACAGAGAGCACCCUAACACUGCUCUGUCCUCCCUGCAGCAGCAGUAGGUGGUGUGCCGGUGUCUCUCUCUGCAGUGGGGAUUAGCAAGACCAAGGGUCUUGCCAUCACUUUCACGGCUGGUGAGUGCAAAGGGGAGGGGGGAUAAGCUGUGCUGGGAAGGAACACAGGGUUGUACCCUGGGCUUGCUCUAUAGCCAAACCAGUUUUUUAAAACCUCACUGGUUCAAAUCUCCUCAAACUGUGGUAUAGGGAUCAAUCCCAAUGUGGUGGGAUGAGGCAAGACAUGCUGGGGUAGGGGUCAAGGUUGAGGACAUCAGGGGCUGGGCAGGCAGGUGUCUGCUCUGUAGCAAGAACUCCUGUGUCCACUGGCAGCAGUGGCAAGAGGCAGAAAGGGAGAGAAGAAAGGGUUUGGGUGUGCUCAGGGAGCAGAGUUCACUGCAGGCCAACUCCCUAGCACAGUCCUUGGAGAUCCUUGCCUCUCCCUGACCAGGAAAAGUCAUUGGCUGUCCCUGCCUCGUGUUUAUCCCUCAGCAGGUGGCCUCAAUACUCCCGGAACAUCACACUUCUGUCUUUGCAGGUGCAAAAAAAUUGGCCUGACUCUGCCCUGCAAGCUGCAGCCAAUUGCAUAAAAACUCUCAGUGAUCCAUGCCAGGGAAUAAAAGCAAGAUUUCUGCCUUCCA